CGGAGGCAGCAGUGGGAAUAUUGGGCAAUGGGCGAAAGCCUGACCCAGCGACGCCGUGUGGGUGAUGAAGGCCUUCGGGUUGUAAAGCCCUGUUGGGUGGAAAGAAGGGCUCCUUGGUGAAUAACCUUGGAGCUUUGACGGUACCACCAGAGGAAGCACCGGCUAACUCCGUGCCAGCAGCCGCGGUAAUACGGAGGGUGCAAGCGUUGUUCGGAAUUACUGGGCGUAAAGGGCGCGUAGGUGGUUGUGUAAGUCAGAUGUGAAAUCCCGAGGCUCAACUUCGGAACUGCAUCUGAUACUGCAUGACUCGAGUGCAGCAGAGGGAAACGGAAUUCCUGGUGUAGAGGUGAAAUUCGUAGAUAUCAGGAGGAACACCGGUGGCGAAGGCGGUUUCCUGGGCUGACACUGACACUGAGGCGCGAAAGCGUGGGUAGCAAACAGGCUUAGAUACCCUGGUAGG
rnacentral:rRNA from 1 species